AUCCAGCUGACGAGUGGUAAAUAGGAUGAAGUGACGCGCGUCCUGGAU
rfam:Schistosoma mattheei strain Denwood, Zambia genome assembly, scaffold: SMTD_contig0000927